UCCACAUCAAUACAUCAUAGACUUGCACUCUCUUCACUUGACACCAAACAAACAAAAAAACCACUUGCACUUUCUAUUUCUUCUGUAUGGGGAAAGAGAGAAAAUAUAUUUUGUUUUCUAUAUAACCCACCACAACAUUGAUCUCCUCAGUCUCAGCUAUCAUCUUUGCUCUAAUGGUGGACGACAUUUUCACAAGAUUCUUCAUCUUUUCACAGACACACGGCAAGUUCCUCAAGAUCUCUUAAAAUGUACCAGAAACAUUCUUUGGAGAAAUUUCCCGAAGCUUCUCUUUUCGUCCAAAGGCUCAAGAAUAUGGCAGACUGAUGAAACUUGCUUAUCAGAGGCAUGGAAGAUACUAGUUGUACAUGUUCCCGAUCAUCACCCUCCAAGCGUUUUGUAUAUAUAUUCAAGAGCUGAACACUAUUAAUUAACAAGCUGUAAAUUUUAAAUUUCAGUACUGAGAUUCAAUCAAAUCACAUUCCAAAAUCA